UACAGAGGGUGCAAGCGUUAUCCGGAAUCACUGGGUUUAAAGGGUGCGUAGGCGGGAAGAUAAGUCAAGGGUGAAAGCUCGUCGCUUAACGACGGAAUUGCCUUUGAUACUGUUUUUCUUGAAAUAUGUUGAGGUUGGCGGAAUGAGACAUGUAGCGGUGAAAUGCUUAGAUAUGUCGUAGAACACCGAUUGCGAAGGCAGCUGACUGGACAUUAUUUGACGCUGAGGCACGAAAGCGUGGGGAUCAAACAGG
rnacentral:rRNA from 1 species